AAUCACGUUAUAUCUACAGUAGCUUUGAUUGGACUGAUCAUGUCAACCUCAUACUUUCAUAAUCUUAGCUAGCAAGCUAGUAGUCAUCAUCAUGGAUCUAGUCGACAAUCUACUGGCAAAUUAUUUGUAAUCCUUGUCAUAUGAAGACAAAUAAUGAAGAAGAAUUAUAGAUAAAACAUAUUAGUGCUCAUCGGCCAUUGGACAUAAACAUUACACAACAAGUUGGAAAUCGCAAAUUCAAUAAUGAGUGGUUUGGAAGGAAUUAGUAUAGUGGCUAACUACAAGCAUUGCAAAGCAAUCACUAGCCUGCUAUUCAGUGGAGUGGGUUUGUGGUUCCAAAUCUGGGAUUAAGGGUCCAUUUUCCAAAUUUAAAAUGAUAAACAUUCAACAUUGUCCAUGCUGUCAAUCCAGCAUGAUUUCUGCCGCGCUCAAAACUGUAAACUCAGAAUUGUGAAAUCUGACUUCAGUGAGUUCAAGAGAACUGGGAACUCUGGAAAAAAAUUAGCCUUGACUGGGAAAAUGCAUUUUCAAUGGUCAUCCAUCUCGGAAUUGCAAGUCGGGAACUCUGUCCUCUUUCGAUCCGAAGAUCACUGACGUCAUCGUGAUUCGACCUUGUUUUUUUUUAAAGCACCAUAAAUCCAGAGAACGCAAGACUUUGAUGACAAAAUUUGUUCACGAAGUUAUCCACUUCCAGAGAGGAUCAGACCAGACAGGAAGAGACGAAGUGAGAGGAUUUACUCCACCCAAAAUCUUUCUAAUGAAAAUAAACCCACAUGAGAAAUGGUAGACGCACAAGGAGACUGAUAUUGUGAUUAUCAAAGGAGCCGGUGGCAAAGCCUUCUGUGCUGGUGGAGACAUCAGAGCUGUGACUGAAGCGGGGAAGCGUAGGAGAUCCCCUUGGUAAUGACGUCUUCCGUGAAGAAUACAUCCUGAACAAUACUAUUGUUACGUGUCCCAAUCACGCAUCUUCCAUGAUUAUGUAAGAGAGGGGAGAGUUCUAUAACAAACAGUAUGCCUGUGUAUUACAUAAUGUUUGGUUUUCAUUAUGAACCUACAAGGACAGACCGUACUGUACAUCCAUUUUCUCUGAUGAGACCAGCUAUUUUUUUUUGUAUCUUAAGAGUACCUGUUUCCCUCCUUUGGCUAUCAGUGACUUUUUCUACAACACUUGGUUUGACUUAUAUUUUAUAUUUUAAGGAACAUAUCAGAAACCAUAUGUGGCCCUUAUUGAUGGGAUAACAAUGGGAGGGGUGAGGAUAAAAAAUAUAUUAUUUUGCCCAGACCUCCGAGCAUACAGAUAGAUGACAUUGCAAGUUAUUUCUGCGGUGCAUGUUUUGACCACCAGAUGGCGACAUGAGCGGGCAUGAUUAGCAUGAUUUCCUUGGAGCAGAGAUGGAGUGUGGUCCUGGCUGUCACUGUAGCUUGUCUCAGUAAUCUCCCUUGAAAAGGUUAGAUGAAAAUAAAAACAGGUAGGCUUCUAAACACAAACAUGGUUUGCCAAAACCCAACAAGAUGGCAGAUAAGUAGCCCGUAGCAGUGCAUGGGUAAAAUCACUGGGGAAGCCAUAUUUAAUAUUUAGCUCUGUGUUGUGAUAAUUGCAUUGUUUGCUCUUUAACCUAUUAGAUCAUAUUCCUUGCAACUGUGAUAUAUAGGCAUAAAGGCUGAGACGAUAAGAAGAAUACAUUCAACCACGCCUUUAUUUUACAUGACCUACAGCAUGGUCAAGCAGGUUAAUGUUUCUGACAUUUUCGGACCACUAAACUACUAUUGAUUUAGAAUCACCCUACACCAAUGCCAUCCUCCUCUCUUUCAUGUUGACAAAACGAUCACUCUGUCAUACAGUACAUGCUUGUAUUUUUUGUUGUCCUAGAAUACCUGGCUAAAAUGCUUGCUCGCUAGCCUAACUUCCAUUCAUGGGCAACAUUAUUUAGUUAACAUUAGCCGUCUACAUCUGGCUACAUAUUGAACUUCCAUCCUCUCAGGCCAGGGGCACAACAAUGUAUGAAUUAAUGGUUAGAUCAGAAUCGCCAUUAUAAUCAUUGGCCAGUAUGUACAAUUAAGUAAAACCUCUCCCUCCAUGGCUAAUUUAGGAAGGGGCCAAUUUUAGCUAGCUGGGUAACUAUCCACCAGAGGACAACGAGAUGCAACAAUUCCAAGUUUUUCUGUCAAUUAUGUAUGCUCUCUAUGGGAUUUGAUAGGAGUGUUGUCAAAUCCUUGUAUACAAAAUUAGCCAAUCAGCAUUGAGCUAAACUGAGCGAGCUCAACUGAGAAUGGUCCUGGCGCACAAAAAAAUAAUGUCAAGGGAAGCUAGCUUGAAUUGGCCCUUUCCCCGAUGCUCGCUGGCUUCACUUGCCUUCAAUGCUAUGGGUGGCCACAAUGUCAUACUCAUUUGGACCAGACAGCAUCAGGUAGAUGGCCCACACAUAGAGAGACAGGGGAGCUCUGUUUCUCCUGUGAGAUACAUUCAGCUUCGUGCGAAUUGAAGAAAAUGUAUGAAACAUAGAGAGACGAAAGAUAAAUCAUUUAGUUUUUUAAUUGGGAUUUUUUGGGGGGGAAACCCUUGGCCACUAUGAAUACACACCACUGUGGGUAGCCAGUUGGGUCACAAACUAGAAUAGGUAUUUGAAUAUGUUGUCAUUUUGUGAAUAUCAUGUCCCUUUUUUUGGGUGCAGAAAUACUACAUUUGGAAUGUUUAGCCUUUGAGUCAUCACCAGUGACCCAAUUUCAGGUUCUUUGAAAUGACUAAUGUUCCAAAAACAAGGACUGAUUUUGCCUUUGGUGGAAAACUUUUGUACUAUACGUGCAUUAGACUAGCAUCCACAGCAGUAUGAAAAUGCUUUAAUUUGCAAAGUUAUGGGUCUGAUAUGGAGGAAAUACUGAUGGACAUUUGAUUUAUUGCCCCUCAUUCACUCUCAAGGAAGUACUUGUGUAUUUCAUUCCCUUCAAACAGAAUUUACUCUGAAGGUUUUGAUCAUAGUUCAACUGUACACACCUCAUUUACACAAAGGCCUCUCUGUCUAGAGUACAAUUAAUUUGCCCCUAUGAGUUCACACACUGUUCAAGUCCUUUGAUGACACCCUUUUUAUAGCUGGCAAUAAAAUGUGUCAGUUUGCUCUAUAAUUUACAGACCUUGCUGCAGGUGGCAGCCAUGUGCUUAACAUCCUGUAGUCCCUUUUUUAUUGUGAAUUGAUACCAAGGUGGGCUCUCAUUGGUCGCGAUGAGAAGUGACAUAGACCAGAGCAUGUUGCUGCCACUGUUUUUUCCCAUCCUCCUAUCAGACUUGCCCGGUAUGUGAAUUGAUACCUUGUUGUCCUGCAGAUGGUUAGAAGCGGAGAGGCACUAGCUACAGUUACUCAGACAGUAGACAUAGAGCUGCUGCCGAAGACAGUCAAUACAACCAUGAAGAGCGCACCAUCAUACAUUGUGAUAGGAAUGUGUGGAAGUGGUAUGUCUGACAGAGUAGAAGCCAAGCCAUGAUUUAAUAUGAGUAGCCUAGAUUGUUUUGGAAUAAAGGGUUAAAGGAAAUCUCACUAAUACGUAGACAUUUCGAUCCACUCAGAACCUUGUCCAGUCAUUCCAUGUUAGCGAUGUAUUAUUUCGCCCAGCCCAUAAUGAGAAGUAAUAUGUGGCAUGUGUAUGCUGGAUGAGACACUGUGGCAAUAGU